UGCUGACGGGCAGCGAGACCUUUGCUCGGCUGUGGCAAUCCGGGCUCUGGGCUCGCCGCCCGCAGGGCCAGCCCGCGCCGGGAGCAGGUGGCGCCAGGUGCACGCGCGGCGCGGGCGCUGCCCGAGGCAGAACUAGGUCCUAAGAGGAACCAAGGAACAAUUAAGGGGCAAGGUUUUUCAUACAUGCUCUUUGCUCCCGAAUGAUUUGAGGAUGCAUGAUGUAAAUCCACUAAUACCACUUACCACCAUCAUAGGUUCUGCCUGGCUCAUUGCACAGAACAGGACAUGCUCAUCCAAACAGGGAUCUCCUUUAAAAAGGAAGCCAAACUCUCAGUGAUUGCAGUCUCCGUUUCUGCUGGCUGGAGAGUGAGACAGCAUGCUUAUGUACAUGGAACACUGGUGAAGCACUGACAAUGUUUCUACAACUAUUUUUAUUGGUUAGAUUUUUGAGUAUACAGAACCUGAAAUGUCUACAAGGAUCAAUACCUGUCCCCAUCACCAAUAUCUACAGAAAUCACUUGGAGAAAUACUGUAAUGAGACUCCACAGGCACAGCAUAUGCCAGUGACACUCAACUAUCUUUCUCAUUCUCCACUACUGCAACCAUCAGCAUUGCUGAGAUCUCAGAAUUCAUAUGUAACCCUACUGCCCGUCAGAGUUGGCAGCAACAAGGGCUGGGUUCAGUAUCUAGGGGUUCUGUUUCAAUGACACAAUGCAAAACUGGCUCGAGCCCCAACCCAGUGACCUGGAAAAAUUACAUACCAUUCCCCUGGGCACCUCUAAGAGGCAGUAUUUCCCCUCUUGCAAGCACAGAGUCUGAGUGUAGCAAAAGCCUUUUAAUAAAGGAGGGAAGCAAUGCGGCAUUAUGUUGGGGAAACACUG